UACGUAGGGCGCGAGCGUUGUCCGGAAUUAUUGGGCGUAAAGAGCUCGUAGGCGGCCUGUUGCGUCCGCUGUGAAAGCCCGGGGCUUAACUCCGGGUCUGCAUUCGAUACGGGCAGGCUAGAGUUCGGUAGGGGAGAUCGGAAUUCCUGGUGUAGCGGUGAAAUGCGCAGAUAUCAGGAGGAACACCGGUGGCGAAGGCGGAUCUCUGGGCCGAUACUGACGCUGAGGCACGAAAGCGUGGGGAGCGAACAGG
rnacentral:rRNA from 1 species